GACGAACGCUGGCGGCGUGCUUAACACAUGCAAGUCGAACGGAAAGGCCCUGCUUUUGUGGGGUGCUCGAGUUGCGAACGGGUGAGUAACACGUGAGUAACCUGCCCUUGACUUUGGGAUAACCUCAUGAAACUGGGGCUAAUACCGGAUAGGAGCUCCUGCUGCAUGGUGGGGGUGGGAAAGUUUCGGCGGUUGGGGAUGGACUCGCCGCUUAUCAGCUUGUUGGUGGGGUAGUGGCUUACCAAGGCUUUGAAGGGUAGCAGGCCUGCUAGGGUGAGCUGCCCCAUUGGGACUGAGAUACGGCACAGACUCCUACGGGAGGCAGCAGUGGGGAAGAGUGCACAAUGGGCGGAAGCCUGAUGCAGCAACGCCGCGUGCGGGAUGACGGCCUUCGGGUUGUAAACCGCUUUCGCCUGUGACGAAGCGUGAGUGACGGUACUGGGUAAAGAAGCACCGGCUAACUACGUG
rnacentral:rRNA from 1 species